UUUUUUUUUUUUUUUUUUUUUUUUUUUUUUUUUCUCCA
rnacentral:ribozyme from 15 species